rfam:Gossypium hirsutum cultivar TM-1 unplaced genomic scaffold scaffold1048.1, whole genome shotgun sequence
UAUUAAAAACUCCAUCCAUUUGUACUAUUAAAAACCAGUGUCACUAAUAGAAUAACCAAAUAGUGACACAUGACAUGUGUACCUCAUGCUGAUUUAUAGAGGUCAUAUUUUAACAAUAAAAACGGAUAAAUUUUUUUAACA